rnacentral:rRNA from 1 species
UACAGAGGUCUCAAGCGUUUGUUCGGAUUCAUUGGGCGUAAAGGGCGCGUAGGCUGCGGGGCAAGUCGGGUGUGAAAUCUCAGAGCUCAACUCUGAAACUGCACUCGAUACUGCUUUGCUCGAGGACUGGAGAGGAGAUUGGAAUUCACGGUGUAGCAGUGAAAUGCGUAGAUAUCGUGAGGAAGACCAGUGGCGAAGGCGGAUCUCUGGACAGUUCCUGACGCUGAGGCGCGAAGGCCGGGGAGCAAACGGG